rnacentral:lncRNA from 1 species
GAAGGGUGUUAUUUUUUUCAGAUGUUCAGCCCACAAGAGCUUACAGGUGAAGGAAUGGGACAAGACCCAUCUUUAUGCAAAGCCAGCGUUACAGUAAUGUUCCAGGAGCAGCUUGUUGCUAUAUACCAUUGAAAAGCCUUCAGAGCUAAGAGGUACUACUAACCAAUAACCUGCUUGGCUCAAAGGGCCAGCACCUUCUCUCUAAAGCCCAAGAGGAGUUUGAGGAAAACUAGGUGUCUCUGUUCACUCCAGGCUGAAGUUACAGGUUUGAGGAAAGGUGUAUAAAAAAUGGAAUCUGUCUUGGAGGACAUCAGAAGUUGAAUUUUCCAAGUCCUUGGACAACCUAGCUGUUGAAAAGCUUUCUGGAUUUGGGGGGUCUUUCAGAUGUACCUUAAAGUGUUAGCAGACACAGAUUAAGACACUGGGAGCCAAUGAAACAUAGCAGUUGAGGGUUUGCUAUGUAUCACAUUUCUGUAUUUUAUCACCUCCUUCCUGCAACAUUAUUUCUGUGGAAUCUACCUGCCCUUUUGUUUUUUAGAUACAAGGGCUUGGUUUUGUUACCAAGGCUGGUUUCAAGGCCCUAGCUUUAAGAGAUCCUCCCACCACAGAUUUCCAAAGUGCUGGGAUUGCAGGUAUGAUUAGUGGCACCCAGACUUUGCUGCCUUUCUUACAUGAUCAAGGCCCGGAACCCAAACUCAGGCACUGCAUAGAUGACCAGUUUGGUAAACUACUGACCUAGCUUGUUGCCAAUUGUGAUUGAGCUUCCCAUAACUCCACUUCGUUUCUGUUUCUCUGUAUACAGACACCUUCUAUUCCCAUCAUGAGCCUUUAGGUCUCCAUUUGCAUAUUGCAAAUACUAUGUUCCGUGUAGGUAGCUCAUUCAGUGCCUUGCUCUUCACUUCAAAAAAGGUUCCCUUGAGGACUGGCUGUCAAUUUGUGUUGCUGUGUUGGU